CGAGCUGUCAGGUGAAGAAUGGCUUUCUCACGCUGCGAGUGUGAGCGGAGGACACCCUCGAGUGAUGCACUUCUACUGCAGUUAAAUGAAGCUGGAUUACUGCCAGAAGAAAUCCAUUCCUGUGACUUCAGCUCUGUUACCUGGAAUACAUCAAUGAGACGCAGCCGUGACUCGAGUGACUCAGAUUUACGGAGAAACAUCUUCCCUCACACUUCCAUUGUGUUUGGAGUGUGAAUCCGGUGGAGUGUGAGGAGUGUGUUUGCGUUCCAUUCGUUUGAGAACUGUCAAGGUGGAAACAUGUUGAAAAGAUGAGAGAUCCUGAUCUACUUCAACAUCUUCUCACAAUCCCCAGCAGAGGUCAGCCUUGUCUCAUCAUCUUCACUCUUUAUUACCAUCAUCUGAUUAAAGGCUCUCUUAUGAAGAGCACUUUGUAAAGUUUGCAUGUUUUCUUGUUCUGCUGAUA